AGUGAAAUGCCGGGUCACAUGGUCAAUGUUUAAUUUUUUGAGGAGCUGUCAAACUGCUUUCCAAAGUGGCUGUACCAUUUUGCAUUCCCACCAGCAAU
rnacentral:pre_miRNA from 1 species